rnacentral:rRNA from 1 species
GAUGAACGCUGGCGGCGUGCCUAAUACAUGCAAGCCGAGCGAAUGGGUUAAGAGCUUGCUCUUAUGAAGUUAGCGGCGGACGGGUGAGUAACACGUGGGUAACCUGCCCAUAAGACUGGGAUAACUCCGGGAAACCGGGGCUAAUACCGGAUAACAUUUUGAACCGCAUGGUUCGAAAUUGAAAGGCAGCUUCGGCUGUCACUUAUGGAUGGACCCGGGUCGGCUUAGCUAGUUGGUGAGGUAACGGCUCACCAAGGCAACGAUGCGUAGCCGACCUGAGAGGGUGAUCGGCCACACUGGGACUGAGACACGGCCCAGACUCCUACGGGAGGCAGCAGUAGGGAAUCUUCCGCAAUGGACGAAAGUCUGACGGAGCAACGCUGCGUGAGUGAUGAAGGCUUUCGGGUCGUAAAACUCUGUUGUUAGGGAAGAACAAGUGCUAGUUGAAUAAGCUGGCACCUUGACGGUACCUAACCAGAAAGCCACGGCUAACUACGUGCCAGCCGCCGCCGUAA